rnacentral:ncRNA from 1 species
CUGACCUGGUGGAUGAAAUACACAUCCCACUGACCGGCGGUUGCGCCUGACUGGCGCUGAACCUGCUCGCGUAUCCAUCCAGAUUUGCCUGGCACGGGGGCUCUUUCUACUUUUGAUCUAGAUUUAAAUGGGGGAAUUGGGACAGGCUGCGUGGGCUUCUUGCGCGUGGUGACACCUGAAGGUGCUUGGGUCGCCAAUGGCGCUGCAGGAGGGAUAAUAGGCGCUGCAACAGAAGCUGGUGAUGAUGAAUCAUCAUCUGAGUCAUCACUUGACUCAUUGGGAUUGAAACUAUGAGUUUCUGACCCAUUAGAGAUGUCUAAGGGACUGUCACCUAAAUAGGUGUCAACAACAUCUUUGUAAACCUUGGUUUCAUCCACCUUAAGAUGGUGAAAUUCUUGGACCGUUGCAAGACGAACUACUGCGAAAGCAUUUGCCAAGAAUGUUUUCAUUAAUCAAGAACGAAAGUUAGAGGUUCGAAGGCGAUCAGAUACCGCCCUAGUUCUAACCAUAAAUGAUCCUCCUUAAGAUGCUUGUUUUCAUAGACAUCAUCUGAAAUUGGAUCCCAGAUCCU